rnacentral:rRNA from 1 species
CGUGUAGGCGGUUUGUUAAGUCAUGUGUGAAAUCCCUCGGCUCAACCGGGGAACGACGCAUGAAACUGGCAAGCUAGAGUACCAAAGAGGGGGGUGGAAUUCCCGGUGUAGCGGUGAAAUGCGUAGUUAUCGGGAGGAACACCUGUGGCGAAGGCGGCCCCCUGGUUGGAUACUGACGCUGAUACGCGAAAGCGUGGGGAGCAAACA